AGAGUUUGAUCAUGGCUCAGAGCGAACGCUGGCGGCAGGCCUAACACAUGCAAGUCGAGCGCCUGUAGCAAUACAGGAGCGGCAGACGGGAGAGUAACACGUGGGAACGUACCCUUCAGUUCGGAACAACCCAGGGAAACUUGGGCUAAUACCGGAUACGUCCGUAAGGAGAAAGAUUUAUCGCUGAAGGAUCGGCCCGCGUCUGAUUAGCUAGUUGGUGAGGUAACGGCUCACCAAGGCGACGAUCAGUAGCUGGUCUGAGAGGAUGAUCAGCCUCACUGGGACUGAGACACGGCCCAGACUCCUACGGGAGGCAGCAGUGGGGAAUAUUGGACAAUGGGCGCAAGCCUGAUCCAGCCAUGCCGCGUGGAUGAUGAAGGCCCUAGGGUUGUAAAGUCCUUUCGGCGGGGAAGAUAAUGACGGUACCCGCAGAAGAAGCCCCGGCUAACUUCGUGCCAGCAGCCGCGGUAAUACGAAGGGGGCUAGCGUUGCUCGGAAUCACUGGGCGUAAAGCGCACGUAGGCGGCUUUUUAAGUCAGGGGUGAAAUCCUGGAGCUCAACUCCAGAACUGCCUCUGAUACUGAAAGGCUUGAGUCCGGGAGAGGUGAGUGGAACUGCGAGUGUAGAGGUGAAAUUCGUAGAUAUUCGCAAGAACACCAGUGGCGAAGGCGGCUCACUGGCCCGGUACUGACGCUGAGGU
rnacentral:rRNA from 1 species